GAUGAACGCUGGCGGCGUGCCUAAUACAUGCAAGUCGAGCGAACGGACGAGAAGCUUGCUUCUCUGAUGUUAGCGGCGGACGGGUGAGUAACACGUGGAUAACCUACCUAUAAGACUGGGAUAACUUCGGGAAACCGUAGCUAAUACCGGAUAAUAUUUUGAACCGCAUGGUUCAAAGGUGAAAGACGGUCUUGCUGUCACUUAUAGAUGGAUCCGCGCUGCAUUAGCUAGUUGGUAAGGUAACGGCUUACCAAGGCAACGAUGCAUAGCCGACCUGAGAGGGUGAUCGGCCACACUGGAACUGAGACACGGUCCAGACUCCUACGGGAGGCAGCAGUAGGGAAUCUUCCGCAAUGGGCGAAAGCCUGACGGAGCAACGCCGCGUGAGUGAUGAAGGUCUUCGGAUCGUAAAACUCCGUUAUUAGGGAAGAACAUAUGUGUAAGUAACUGUGCACAUCUUGACGGUACCUAAUCAGAAAGCCACGGCUAACUACGUG
rnacentral:rRNA from 1 species